rnacentral:rRNA from 1 species
UACGGAGGAUGCGAGCGUUAUCCGGAUUUAUUGGGUUUAAAGGGUGCGUAGGCGGGCUUUUAAGUCAGCGGUAAAAGUUCGGGGCUCAACCCCGUCCGGCCGUUGAAACUGGGGGUCUUGAGUGGGCGAGAAGAAGGCGGAAUGCGUGGUGUAGCGGUGAAAUGCAUAGAUAUCACGCAGAACCCCGAUUGCGAAGGCAGCCUUCCGGCGCCCUACUGACGCUGAGGCACGAAAGUGCGGGGAUCGAACAGG